rnacentral:rRNA from 1 species
UCCGGAUCCGUUCGACAGAGUUUGAUCUGGCUCAGGACGAACGCUGGCGGCGUGCCUAAUACAUGCAAGUCGAGCGGACAGAAGGGAGCUUGCUCCCGGAUGUUAGCGGCGGACGGGUGAGUAACACGUGGGUAACCUGCCUGUAAGACUGGGAUAACUCCGGGAAACCGGAGCUAAUACCGGAUAGUUCCUUGAACCGCAUGGUUCAAGGAUGAAAGACGGUUUCGGCUGUCACUUACAGAUGGACCCGCGGCGCAUUAGCUAGUUGGUGGGGUAAUGGCUCACCAAGGCGACGAUGCGUAGCCGACCUGAGAGGGUGAUCGGCCACACUGGGACUGAGACACGGCCCAGACUCCUACGGGAGGCAGCAGUAGGGAAUCUUCCGCAAUGGACGAAAGUCUGACGGAGCAACGCCGCGUGAGUGAUGAAGGUUUUCGGAUCGUAAAGCUCUGUUGUUAGGGAAGAACAAGUGCGAGAGUAACUGCUCGCACCUUGACGGUACCUAACCAGAAAGCCACGGCUAACUACGUGCCAGCAGCCGCGGUAAUACGUAGGUGGCAAGCGUUGUCCGGAAUUAUUGGGCGUAAAGGGCUCGCAGGCGGUUUCUUAAGUCUGAUGUGAAAGCCCCCGGCUCAACCGGGGAGGGUCAUUGGAAACUGGGAAACUUGAGUGCAGAAGAGGAGAGUGGAAUUCCACGUGUAGCGGUGAAAUGCGUAGAGAUGUGGAGGAACACCAGUGGCGAAGGCGACUCUCUGGUCUGUAACUGACGCUGAGGAGCGAAAGCGUGGGGAGCGAACAGGAUUAGAUACCCUGGUAGUCCACGCCGUAAACGAUGAGUGCUAAGUGUUAGGGGGUUUCCGCCCCUUAGUGCUGCAGCUAACGCAUUAAGCACUCCGCCUGGGGAGUACGGUCGCAAGACUGAAACUCAAAGGAAUUGACGGGGGCCCGCACAAGCGGUGGAGCAUGUGGUUUAAUUCGAAGCAACGCGAAGAACCUUACCAGGUCUUGACAUCCUCUGACAACCCUAGAGAUAGGGCUUUCCCUUCGGGGACAGAGUGACAGGUGGUGCAUGGUUGUCGUCAGCUCGUGUCGUGAGAUGUUGGGUUAAGUCCCGCAACGAGCGCAACCCUUGAUCUUAGUUGCCAGCAUUCAGUUGGGCACUCUAAGGUGACUGCCGGUGACAAACCGGAGGAAGGUGGGGAUGACGUCAAAUCAUCAUGCCCCUUAUGACCUGGGCUACACACGUGCUACAAUGGACAGAACAAAGGGCUGCAAGACCGCAAGGUUUAGCCAAUCCCAUAAAUCUGUUCUCAGUUCGGAUCGCAGUCUGCAACUCGANUGCGUGAAGCUGGAAUCGCUAGUAANAGCGGAUCAGCAUGCCGCGGGAAAUGCCUC